GGAGGGUUCCUUUAUAGGUAAAAAGGGCCAAGCUGUAAACUUGGUACAUUGUUGUUAUGAGAGUUCGAAUCUCUUCUCUCCUA
rnacentral:tRNA from 1 species